rnacentral:rRNA from 1 species
CAUAGGUUAAUGAGGCGAACCGGGGGAACUGAAACAUCUAAGUACCCCGAGGAAAAGAAAUCAACCGAGAUUCCCCCAGUAGCGGCGAGCGAACGGGGAGGAGCCCAGAGCCUGAAUCAGUGUGUGUGUUAGUGGAAGCGUCUGGAAAGGCGUGCGAUACAGGGUGACAGCCCCGUACACAAAAAUGCACAUAUUGUGAGCUCGAUGAGUAGGGCGGGACACGUGGUAUCCUGUCUGAAUAUGGGGGGACCAUCCUCCAAGGCUAAAUACUCCUGACUGACCGAUAGUGAACCAGUACCGUGAGGGAAAGGCGAAAAGAACCCCGGCGAGGGGAGUGAAAAAGAACCUGAAACCGUGUACGUACAAGCAGUGGGAGCCUCUUAAUGGGGUGACUGCGUACCUUUUGUAUAAUGGGUCAGCGACUUAUAUUCUGUAGCAAGGUUAACCGAAUAGGGGAGCCGAAGGGAAACCGAGUCUUAACUGGGCGUUAAGUUGCAGGGUAUAGACCCGAAACCCGGUGAUCUAGCCAUGGGCAGGUUGAAGGUUGGGUAACACUAACUGGAGGACCGAACCGACUAAUGUUGAAAAAUUAGCGGAUGACUUGUGGCUGGGGGUGAAAGGCCAAUCAAACCGGGAGAUAGCUGGUUCUCCCCGAAAGCUAUUUAGGUAGCGCCUCGUGAAUUCAUCUCCGGGGGUAGAGCACUGUUUCGGCAAGGGGGUCAUCCCGACUUACCAACCCGAUGCAAACUGCGAAUACCGGAGAAUGUUAUCACGGGAGACACACGGCGGGUGCUAACGUCCGUCGUGAAGAGGGAAACAACCCAGACCGCCAGCUAAGGUCCCAAAGUCAUGGUUAAGUGGGAAACGAUGUGGGAAGGCCCAGACAGCCAGGAUGUUGGCUUAGAAGCAGCCAUCAUUUAAAGAAAGCGUAAUAGCUCACUGGUCGAGUCGGCCUGCGCGGAAGAUGUAACGGGGCUAAACCAUGCACCGAAGCUGCGGCAGCGACACUAUGUGUUGUUGGGUAGGGGAGCGUUCUGUAAGCCUGUGAAGGUGGCCUGUGAGGGUUGCUGGAGGUAUCAGAAGUGCGAAUGCUGACAUAAGUAACGAUAAAGCGGGUGAAAAGCCCGCUCGCCGGAAGACCAAGGGUUCCUGUCCAACGUUAAUCGGGGCAGGGUGAGUCGACCCCUAAGGCGAGGCCGAAAGGCGUAGUCGAUGGGAAACAGGUUAAUAUUCCUGUACUUGGUGUUACUGCGAAGGGGGGACGGAGAAGGCUAUGUUGGCCGGGCGACGGUUGUCCCGGUUUAAGCGUGUAGGCUGGUUUUCCAGGCAAAUCCGGAAAACCAAGGCUGAGGCGUGAUGACGAAGCACUACGGUGCUGAAGCGACAAAUGCCCUGCUUCCAGGAAAAGCCUCUAAGCAUCAGGUAACAUCAAAUCGUACCCCAAACCGACACAGGUGGUCAGGUAGAGAAUACCAAGGCGCUUGAGAGAACUCGGGUGAAGGAACUAGGCAAAAUGGUGCCGUAACUUCGGGAGAAGGCACGCUGAUAUGUAGGUGAAGCGACUUGCUCGUGGAGCUGAAAUCAGUCGAAGAUACCAGCUGGCUGCAACUGUUUAUUAAAAACACAGCACUGUGCAAACACGAAAGUGGACGUAUACGGUGUGACGCCUGCCCGGUGCCGGAAGGUUAAUUGAUGGGGUUAGCGGUAACGCGAAGCUCUUGAUCGAAGCCCCGGUAAACGGCGGCCGUAACUAUAACGGUCCUAAGGUAGCGAAAUUCCUUGUCGGGUAAGUUCCGACCUGCACGAAUGGCGUAAUGAUGGCCAGGCUGUCUCCACCCGAGACUCAGUGAAAUUGAACUCGCUGUGAAGAUGCAGUGUACCCGCGGCAAGACGGAAAGACCCCGUGAACCUUUACUAUAGCUUGACACUGAACAUUGAGCCUUGAUGUGUAGGAUAGGUGGGAGGCUUUGA